UCAAGCUACAAAGAGCUUAUGGUGGAUGGCUUGGCGUCAAGAGGCGAUGAAGGACGCGGUAAGCAGCGAUAUGCUUCGGGGAGGCGCAAACAGCCCUUGAUCCGGAGAUUUCCGAAUGGGGGAACCCGCCUUGAGUAAUAUCAAGGUAUCUUAAACUGAAUACAUAGGUUUAAGAGGCGAUACCAGGAGAACUGAAACAUCUAAGUACCCUGAGGAAAAGAAAAAGAUAUUGAUUCCUUAAGUAGCGGCGAGCGAACGAGGAGAAGCCCAAACCUUUGGUACUUGUACCAGAGGGGUUGUGGGACUGCAAUGUGGCAUGCAUAUGGAUAACCGAAUGGGCUGGAAAGCCCAACCAAAGAGAGUGAUAGUCUUGUAGGUGAAAUCCAGAAGCAGCCUAGCAGUAUCCCGAGUACUACGGGACACGUGGAACCCCGUAGGAAUCCGGCCUGACCACAGGCCAAGGCUAAAUACUAAUUGACGACCGAUAGUGAACAAGUAAUGUGAAUGAAAGCUGAAAAGUACCCCGGUGAGGGGAGUGAAAUAGUACCUGAAACCAUAAGCUUACAAGCUGUGGGAGGCCUAUGACCACCUUCGGUGGUAAUGGCUGACCGCGUGCCUAUUGAAUAAUGAUCCGGCGAGUUGCUCAGUGUAGCAAGGUUAAUCUCUUUGCAGAGAGGAGCCGUAGCGAAAGCGAGUCUUAAAAGGGCGUUUAGUUAUAUUGAGCUGACCCGAAACCGAGUGAUCUAUCCAUGGCCAGGGUGAAGCGUAGGUAAAACUAUGUGAAGGCCCGAACGCACUAAUGUUGAAAAAUUAGGCGAUGAGCUGUGGAUCGGAGUGAAAGGCUAAUCAAACUCGGAAAUAGCUGGUUCUCCCCGAAAUGUCUUUAGGGACAGCCUUAUGUAAUAGUUGAUAGGGGUAGAGCACUAAAUGGACUAGGGGGCUUACCCGCCUACCGAACCCAAUUAAACUCCGAAUACUAUCAACCGUAUCAUAGGAGUGAGACUGUGAGGGAUAAGCUUCAUAGUCGAGAGGGAUUCAGCCCAGACUGCCAGUUAAGGCCCCUAAGAACAGGCUAAGUGGUAAAGGAUGUAAGAUUACUUAGACAACCGGGAUGUUGGCUUAGAGGCAGCCAUCAUUUAAAGAUUGCGUAAUAGCUCACCGGUCAAUGUGAUCUUGCGCCGAUAAUAAUCGGGGCUCAAGCCUGUCGCCGAAACUGCAGAUUUAUUUUGAUCUUCGGAUCGAAAUGAGUGGUAGGGGAGCGUUCUAUGCUAGGAUGAAGGAGUACCGUAAGGAGCUCUGGACGAAAUAGAAGUGAUUAUGCCGGAAUGAGUAGCGAAAAGACCCGUGAGAAACGGGUCCGCCGUAAGCCUAAGGUUUCCUGGGGAAGGUUAAUCCACCCAGGGUUAGUCGUGCCUAAGCUGAGGCCGAAAGGCGUAAGCGAUGGACAAUCUGUUAAUAUUCAGAUACCACCUGUUAUGCGCUAUCAGUUGCAACAUGACGCAGUAGGUUAGAUCUACCCAGUGCUGGAUGUCUGGGGACAAGCCCGUAGCCUUGCAUUUGAAAGAGUGUAAGGUGAGAGGUUACGUGGAGUCCAAUCUACGGAGCGGAUGAACCGAUUGACGCCACACUGCCAAGAAAAACAGUUGUAACGAGUAUAGCGGGUGAACGUACCGUAACCCAACACAGGUAGGCGAGGAGAAUAUCCUAAGGCGCUCGAGAGAACCCUCGUUAAGGAACUCGGCAAAUUUGCCCCGUAACUUCGGAAGAAGGGGUACCUCGAAUCCUGUAGAUGUACAAUCGAAGGGAAUCGAGGUGACACUAAAGAGGCCCAGGCGACUGUUUAGCAAAAACAUAUGUCUCUGCUAAGUCGUAAGACGAUGUAUAGGGACUGACACCUGCCCGGUGCCGGAAGGUUAAGAGGCGUGGUUAGCCGUAAGGCGAAGCUACAAACUGAAGCCCCGGUAAACGGCGGCCGUAACUAUAACGGUCCUAAGGUAGCGAAAUUCCUUGUCAGGUAAGUUCUGACCCGCACGAAUGGUGUAACGGUCUGGGCGCUGUCUCGACGAGGGGCUCGGCGAAAUUGUAGUGACGGUGAAGAUGCCGUCUACCCGCGACUA
rnacentral:rRNA from 1 species